rnacentral:misc_RNA from 1 species
UCCGGCUUGCCACCGGCAGUUCCACUAGAGUGCCCAGCUUAACCUGAUGGCAACUAGUAGCGAGGGUUGCGCUCGUUGCGGGACUUAACCCAACAUCUCACGACACGAGCUGACGACAGCCAUGCAGCACCUCCGCAGCAGUCUCUUGCGAGAAAGGGAUAUUUCUACCCCAGUCCACUGCGCUUCGAGCCCAGGUAAGGUUCUUCGCGUUGCAUCGAAUUAAACCACAUACUCCACCGCUUGUGCGGGCCCCCGUCAAUUCCUUUGAGUUUCAGUCUUGCGACCGUACUCCCCAGGUGGAGUGCUUAAUGUGUUGACUUCGGCACAGCAGGGGUCGAUACCCGCUACACCAAGCACUCAUCGUUUACGGCGUGGACUAC